AAACAGAACGCUAGUUUGAGGUUUGAUAUUGAAAGUCUUGAAUGAUAUGUUGAAGUAUAGACUUUGAUAUGUAUGGGCACUGGAGCUCUGCUUUUGGAAGUUCGUCUGAGUGGGUAAGUGAUGUCAGGCACUGGGAGACCAGCAAUGAUGCACAGCGGUGCACAGAGAUGCACAGUGGUGCAACAUCACUGCACAGCAGUCCACAGCAAUGCACAGGGAUGCCCAGAGAUGCCCAGCAAUGCACAGAGAUGCACAGGAAUGCACAGAGAUGCACAGAGAUGCUCAGAGAUGCCCAGCAGUGCAACAUCAAUGCACAACAGUGCACAGCGAUGCACAGUUGUGCACAGGGAUGCAGUGAGAGCUUGGCUUCAUAGUGAGAACAGAAGAAACAGACAAAUGGGGCCUGGGAAGGGUCUGAUGAUCAAGAAGGAACAGGGACACAGGAGAUGUCACCAUAUUUCAGGUUCCUAGACAUAUAAGGUCACCAUGCCUCCAAACAAGAAAUCGAGAAGAUGCUUACUGUGUUGGACAUGAGCGAAUAUCUGACGCAGCCAGACAUGGUGAUGCAGUUUUAAUGCCAGCACUUGGGAGGCAGAAGCAAGCAGUGAGUUCGAAGUCAGCUUGGUCUUGUAAGUACUUGUCUCAGAAGCAAACAAACCUGAUAUAAGCUACUUAAGUGUGGACCUGGGUACCAGAGGCUUUCCACGGAGAUCUCUGGUCCCGCCAGGUGCGAGUGUUCCCGUGAAGGGAAGCCUGUGCAGGCAGGGAGGGGAAGUCGCUUCCACCGCUGCUUCUGCGGUUGGCUCCAUCUCCGUCUCUGCCCUGCCUCUAGGUUACUCCGUUACAGCAGUGCGCUGCCCUGUACUGAGUCCGGUAGGGCUAGGUCAACCAGAGGCUGACUAGCCAGUGAGGAGUGCGGCAGAGCGUCAGGCGGCGUUUCGGAAGAGCAGACCUCUUCCCAAGUGUAUGGCUCUUUGGACAGAAGGCUGGGACCCAGGGGUAGUUCUCGCACCCCUAAUCCUCCCAGAUAGGAUUCUUAUAUACAGUUUUGGGGUGGGUAAGGGUCUGACAACAGGCACUUCUCAUUGGUUUGUCUGAGAGCUUUGGGGAAACCUUAUUUGCAUGUGGAAGGAGGUGACUAAUGGCUACAUACAUCUCUGCAGGGGGCUGUGGGAGGCUGUAGCAGUGACAGGAGCCAGGGGCCCAGGAGGCAUGGUCAAACACCUUCUGUCCUAUGCAGGUGGAAAUCACCACCCACUGGGUCACAGGGGUUCCAAACCUUUGUUCGACCAGGGAUCAGGCUGUCUGUGCACAGCCCACCACCUCACACACUCAAUCAGAGUGGGGGUGAAGUUGAGGAGCAACUUUAUUUCAAGGGAAACAGGAAACGGGGGAUAAAGGAGGGGCCAGGAGAAGGGAGAGCCUUGUGGUAGUUUAAGUGAGAAAUGCUCUCCCCUAGCCUCAGGUCCUCAGGGGACCUCAGGUCCUCACUGGGGAACGGGCAGCCUGGUGGGGGCAGUACGCUGCUGGGGGCACUGGGGAUGGGGCAGUCUGGUGGGGGCAGCCUGGUGGGGGUCGGGUGGGCUGAGAGUUUACAGCUUCGCCUCCCAUUGAGUAUGUUGCACUUUUGGGUAAAGAAGUGAACACCCAGCUUCUUGUUCCUGCUACCAUGCCUGCCGGCCACUUGGACUCUCCCUCUAGAACCAGAAGCCAAAAUAAACUUUCUCCAUUGAGUUAUGUUUGCUCAAGAUAUUUGACUACAGCAACAGAAAACUAAUCAAUACAAACCCAUCCCAAGGACACACCCUAAUGACCUGCUUCCUGUAGGCUUCAACCCCCAUGCUUCACCUCCUCCAAAAGAGUCCAUCAAGUAAUGGCUCCUUCAAGAGAUUAAUCCACUGAUUAGAUCAGAACUCUCAGCAUCCAGUCAAACCCAUGAGCUGGCAGCCAAGGCCCUGGUGGUGCCUGAGGUUCUGAAGGAUGUGCCACACUCAUUUUAUUCAGCAUACAAGGUCAAACUAGUACAUGGAGUAUUGAGACAUCGAACCAAGAGGAAUUAAUAAAACCUUGGCAAUGCCAGGGUGGGACCUAUAGCUGUAGUGCUAGCUCAUUGCUUUGUGUAAGCUAUGGGAUCAAAUUGGCUGUCCAAAACAUAACCAAAAGCACGUUGGGGGUGAAAAGGUUUAUUUGGCUUACACUUCCACAUUGCAGUCCAUCCUUGAAGGAAGUCAGGACAGGAACUCAAACAGGGCAGGAACCUGGAGGCAGAAGCUAAUGCAGAGGCUAUUGAGGUGUGUUGACUACUGGUUUGCUCAUCAUGACUUGGUCAUCUUAUUCUCUUACAGAAUCUAGGACCACUAGCCUAGGGAUGACACCACCCACAAUGGUCUGGGACCUCCUACUAAUAAAAAAAAAUGUCCUACAGCUGGAUCUCAUGAAGUCAUUUUCUCAGUUGAGGUUCCCUCUUUUCAGAUGACUCUAGCUUGUGUCAGACUGAUAUAAAACUAGCCAGGUCAGUGACUGUCUUCAUCCAAGUGAAGACAGUGAAGCAGAAAGGCAAAAUGUUGUCUUAGUUAGGGUUUCUAUUGCUGUAAAGAAACACCAUGACCAAGGCAAUUCUUGUAAAGGAACACAAUUGAGCUGGCUUACAGGUUCAGAGGUUUAGUCCAUUAUCAUCAUGGAGGGAAGCAUGGUGACAUGCAGGCAACAUAGCGCUGGAAAGGAGCUAAGAGUUCUACAUCUGGAUCUACAAGCAACAAGAAGAAAACUAGAACUAAGUUUCUCAGACCGCAAAGCCUGACCCUGUAAUAUCCAAAAUGAAUUCAAGACCACCCAGUACCUUCCCCCUUCAAAAAGGACUUUCCAAACUAACUGUACUAGCAGGCCAAGUGCAGAGCCAGAUAAGGAAGCUGGCUGACUAAACAAUUGUAAAAACAUAGUUUUAGCAGUCAAAAUGACUGAGCCUACAAGCUGCCAAAACAAUAUUAGCUGUUCUCAGAGAAAUAACCAUAACAAGAUUAGCAAUUCUUCUACCCCCCCCCCCCCGCCCCACACUGAAUUCUGACAAAGACCACAAACCACCCUGACCUUGUGAGAAUUCCCCUGACUUUAAUAACUGUGACGUUAAUAACUGACCCAUAAGUUCAAAAUGUACUAUUACUUUGCUGACCAAAUCAUAAUAACCCACCAUGGGGGCAAGCAAAGCGACUAGGCCAAAGGGUUACUUAGUCACUAUACAAACCAACCAGUACCUAAAAGGGUUACUUGCUACACCAAUGAAAACCCUGUUGCUCAAAUCUAUCCCUUACAAAGGUAUAAAAACUGUGUACUUUCUUUGUUCUGGGUCUCUUCUCUGGCCUGCAUGCUGAGAGGGGAGUCCCCAACAUGUUGGAAUAAUAAAAAUCCUCAUGCAUUUUGCAGCGAU
rnacentral:lncRNA from 1 species